UCUAUAGUUACUAUAAUUUAUAUUAUAUAUAAAUUAUAUGCCGGAAACUUGUACAUGCUGAUGAUUUCGACAAGCUGGUGUGAGUUUAAAGUCUAAUCAAUGUGUUUCUGUUCCAAGCAAUGAAUUGUCUGAAACAACUUGGGAUCAGCAGGAGAUUGAUGGAAUGAUUGCUCGGUCACCCAGUACAACACUGUAAUCACAGACAGUAUUCAAUUGUUGUUCUACAAUGUUUUGGAGGAGGCUCAACUGGUCAAGUGUCCAUACCACAAUCAAACUUCUGUCCUGGGGGCACUGUCUACUGUGAGGAUGGAGAACCAGCCUCAGGCGCUACUUGUGUACUGAUUGAUAAUUUCUGUGAU